rnacentral:rRNA from 1 species
GAUCAUGGCUCAGGACGAACGCUGGCGGCGUGCCUAAUACAUGCAAGUCGAACGAGAGCGACUGGUGCUUGCACUGGUCAAUCUAGUGGCGAACGGGUGAGUAACACGUGGGUAACCUGCCCAUCAGAGGGGGAUAACAUUCGGAAACGGAUGCUAAAACCGCAUAGGUCCUUUAACCGCAUGGUUGAAGGAGGAAAAGAGGCGUAAGCUUCUGCUGAUGGAUGGACCCGCGGUGCAUUAG